rnacentral:rRNA from 1 species
UUAUCCAGGCAAAUCCGGAUAAUCAAGGCUGAGGUGUGAUGACGAGGCACUACGGUGCUGAAGUAACAAAUGCCCUGCUUCCAGGAAAAGCCUCUAAGCAUCAGGUAACAUCAAAUCGUACCCCAAACCGACACAGGUGGUCAGGUAGAGAAUACCAAGGCGCUUGAGAGAACUCGGGUGAAGGAACUAGGCAAAAUGGUGCCGUAACUUCGGGAGAAGGCACGCUGGUGUGUAGGUGAAGCCCCUGCGGGUGGAGCUGAGACCAGUCGAAGAUACCAGCUGGCUGCAACUGUUUAUUAAAAACACAGCACUGUGCAAACACGAAAGUGGACGUAUACGGUGUGACGCCUGCCCGGUGCCGGAAGGUUAAUUGAUGGGGUUAUCCGUAAGGAGAAGCUCUUGAUCGAAGCCCCGGUAAACGGCGGCCGUAACUAUAACGGUCCUAAGGUAGCGAAAUUCCUUGUCGGGUAAGUUCCGACCUGCACGAAUGGCGUAAUGAUGGCCAGGCUGUCUCCACCCGAGACUCAGUGAAAUUGAACUCGCUGUGAAGAUGCAGUGUACCCGCGGCAAGACGGAAAGACCCCGUGAACCUUUACUAUAGCUUGACACUGAACAUUGAGCCUUGAUGUGUAGGAUAGGUGGGAGGCUUUGAAGCGUGGACGCCAGUCUGCGUGGAGCCAACCUUGAAAUACCACCCUUUAAUGUUUGAUGUUCUAACGUUGGCCCCUUACCGGGGUUGCGGACAGUGUCUGGUGGGUAGUUUGACUGGGGCGGUCUCCUCCCAAAGCGUAACGGAGGAGCACGAAGGUUAGCUAAUCCUGGUCGGACAUCAGGAGGUUAGUGCAAUGGCAUAAGCUAGCUUGACUGCGAGCGUGACGGCGCGAGCAGGUGCGAAAGCAGGUCAUAGUGAUCCGGUGGUUCUGAAUGGAAGGGCCAUCGCUCAACGGAUAAAAGGUACUCCGGGGAUAACAGGCUGAUACCGCCCAAGAGUUCAUAUCGACGGCGGUGUUUGGCACCUCGAUGUCGGCUCAUCACAUCCUGGGGCUGAAGUAGGUCCCAAGGGUAUGGCUGUUCGCCAUUUAAAGUGGUACGCGAGCUGGGUUUAGAACGUCGUGAGACAGUUCGGUCCCUAUCUGCCGUGGGCGCUGGAGAAUUGAGGGGGGCUGCUCCUAGUACGAGAGGACCGGAGUGGACGCAUCACUGGUGUUCGGGUUGUCAUGCCAAUGGCACUGCCCGGUAGCUAAAUGCGGAAGAGAUAAGUGCUGAAAGCAUCUAAGCACGAAACUUGCCCCGAGAUGAGUUCUCCCUGAGACUUUAAGUCUCCUGAAGGAACGUUGAAGACGACGACGUUGAUAGGCCGGGUGUGUAAGCGCAGCGAUGCGUUGAGCUAACCGGUACUAAUGAACCGUGAGGCUUAACCUUACAACGCCGAAG